CAAGGCUCAUGCAGACAUGCACUAGAGAUAUGUAUGUGUGUGUGUAAUAUCUCUAGUGCAUGUCUACAUGAGCCUGAUA